rnacentral:rRNA from 1 species
GACGAACGCUGGCGGCGUGCUUAACACAUGCCAGUCGAACGAAGUGGCGAACGGGUGAGUAACGCGUAAUCAACCUGCCCUUCAGAGGGGGACAACAGUUGGAAACGACUGCUAAUACCGCAUACUGAAGGCGGGGAUUGCGUCUGAUUAGCUAGUUGGAGGGGAAACGGCCCACCAGGGCGAUGAUCAGUAGCAGGUCGGAGAGGAUGAACGGCAACAGUGGGACGGAGACACGGCCCAGACUCCUACGGGAGGCAGCAGGGGGGAAUCUGCCGCAAUGGACGAAAGGCUGACGGAGCAACGCGGCGUGAGUGAUGACGGCCGUCGGGUGGUAAAGCUCUGUUAAUCGGGACGCGGUACCGGAAUAGAAAGCCACGGCUAACUACGUGCCAGCAGCCGCGGUAAUAC